rnacentral:lncRNA from 1 species
AUUAGUGUUAUGAUGAUUGCAUUGCAUUUGAUAGGUCCAAAUGCAGAUGUUUGUUACCAAACGGAUGUAUACAGACUUCAUCACUUGGACUCCUCAGACCUGCCUGAUAUUCAGAGUACAAAGAGAUGAGGACUUCAUCAGUGGUGCCAUUAAUGUGAUGCAAACAUUUUGGUCACAAGACACACUCCGCAAACUUCAGAAGCUGAAAGAUGCACAGGCAGAACACAGUCUAGUCGAAAGCAGCACAGGGAGUGACCCAUCAGGCAACACAAGUGGCAGCAGAACAUCAGGCAACAGAGGCAGAGCGUCAGGCAACAGAGGCAGGGUGACAGGCAACAGAGGCAAGGUGACAGGCAUCAGAGGCAGGGUGACAGGGUGUGCAGCAGCAGAGCAGCACUGAGAUAAGUUCGGGGACCUGUUGAAAGACAAACAACAGGUGGUUUUGAUUAGAAAGAUCCAUUAUGUCUCCACUGAAACCUGUUAAAUGGCACAAUUCGAACAACAAUGACUUCUUUGUCGUAUAAAAAAGUUGCAUGAAAUAUUGUUCUCUGAUGCUCAUUAUUAAAGUACUGCACAUUGAUUUUGUUCUUACUCUCAGAUUCUGUAACGGUUGUACAUAAAACUGCCAGACAAGUUCAUUAGUGCUGCACAGACAACAAUUCUGUCGAUCAUGGCCUCUUCUCUCUUCUGUCUAUCAUCCUGCUGUCUCUUCACCAGGCGAAGAGGAAGUGGGCCAUCCAGAAUGUGGUACCGGCUCUACAGGGCACCAAUUACUCUCUCUGCAGACCACAGCGUCAGUGGCGGUUCUAGACCAGUUUUAAUAGGGGGGGCCAGGUUGGGGCCGGCUUUUUUGUUAGGGGGCACAUACAACCCGGAAAAAAGGAUAAAUCCCUCAUUCAGACAAAGCAGUGUUUACAAUUUUUUUGGGUAGUAAACUGCUGAGACACUUUAUUUCUGCCUUUCCCUUCAGAACAAAAUCAUUGCAAGAAAUCUGUCAUUGUAUUAUUAAUGCAGACUCCCUGUCAGGGGGGCCACAGGGGGAUCCAGACUCAGAGUUACAGGGGCACUGGCCCCUGUUGGCCCCCCCAGAACUGCCCC